rnacentral:rRNA from 1 species
CCUACGGGAGGCAGCAGUGAGGAAUAUUGGUCAAUGGUCGGGGGACUGAACCAGCCAAGCCGCGUGAGGGAUGAAGGUACAGAGUAUCGUAAACCUCUUUUGUCAGGGAACAAAGGCGGGGACGUGUCCCCGGAUGAGUGUACCUGAAGAAAAAGCAUCGGCUAACUCCGUGCCAGCAGCCGCGGUAAUACGGAGGAUGCGAGCGUUAUCCGGAUUUAUUGGGUUUAAAGGGUGCGCAGGCGGUCUGUUAAGUCAGCGGUCAAAGCCCGGGGCUCAACCCCGGCCCGCCGUUGAAACUGGCAGUCGCGAGUUGGAGAGAAGUAUGCGGAAUGCGCGGUGUAGCGGUGAAAUGCAUAGAUAUCGCGCAGAACUCCGAUUGCGAAGGCAGCAUGCCGGCUCCACACUGACGCUGAGGCACGAAAGCGUGGGUAUCGAACAGGAUUAGAUACCCUUGUAGUC